GACGAACGCUGGCGGCGGGCUUAACACAUGCAAGUCGAACGGAAAGGCCCUGCUUUUGUGGGGUGCUCGAGUGGCGAAAGGGUGAGUAACACGUGAGUAACCUGCCCUUGACUUUGGGAUAACUUCAGGAAACUGGGGCUAAUACCGGAUAGGAGCUCCUGCUGCAUGGUGGGGGUUGGAAAGUUUCGGCGGGUGGGGAUGGACUCGCGGCUUAUCAGCUUGUUGGUGGGGUAGUGGCUUACCAAGGCUUUGACGGGUAGCCGGCAUGAGAGGGUGACCGGCCACAUUGGGACUGAGAUACGGCCCAGACUCCUACGGGAGGCAGCAGUGGGGAAUAUUGCACAAUGGGAGGAAGCCUGAUGCAGCAACGCCGCGUGCGGGAUGACGGCCUUCGGGUUGUAAACCGCUUUCGCCUGUGACGAAGCGUGAGUGACGGUAAUGGGUAAAGAAGCACCGGCUAACUACGUG
rnacentral:rRNA from 1 species